rnacentral:rRNA from 1 species
GAUGAACGCUGGCGGCGUGCCUAAUACAUGCAAGUCGAGCGAACGGACGAGAAGCUUGCUUCUCUGAUGUUAGCGGCGGACGGGUGAGUAACACGUGGAUAACCUACCUAUAAGACUGGGAUAACUUCGGGAAACCGGAGCUAAUACCGGAUAAUAUUUUGAACCGCAUGGUUCAAAAGUGAAAGACGGUCUUGCUGUCACUUAUAGAUGGAUCCGCGCUGCAUUAGCUAGUUGGUAAGGUAACGGCUUACCAAGGCAACGAUGCAUAGCCGACCUGAGAGGGUGAUCGGCCACGCUGGAACUGAGACACGGUCCAGACUCCUACGGGAGGCAGCAGUAGGGAAUCUUCCGCAAUGGGCGAAAGCCUGACGGAGCAACGCCGCGUGAGAGAUGAAGGUCUUCGGAUCGUAAAACUCUGUUAUUAGGGAAGAACAUAUGUGUAAGUAACUGUGCACAUCUUGACGGUACCUAAUCAGAAAGCCACGGCUAACUACGUG